rnacentral:rRNA from 1 species
AUUGAACGCUGGCGGCAUGCCUUACACAUGCAAGUCGAGCGCGAAAGGGGGCAACCCCGAGUAGAGCGGCGGACGGGUGAGUAACACAUCGGAACGUGCCCAGUAGUGGGGGACAACCUCGAGAAAUCGAGGCUAAUACCGCGUACGCCCUACGGGGGGAAAGCGGGGGACUUUCGGGCCUCGCGCUAUUAGAUGAGCCUAAGUCCGAUUAGCUAGUUGGUAGGGUAAUGGCCUACCAAGGCGACGANCGGUAGCUGGUCUGAGAGGACGACCAGCCACACUGGGACUGAGACACGGCCCAGACUCCUACGGGAGGCAGCAGCGGGGAUAUUGGACAAUGGCGCAAGCCUGAUCCAGCGAUGCCGCGUGUGUGAAGAAGGCCUGCGGGUUGUAAAG